GGGAAGAUGGGGUGCCGGAGGAGAGUCGUGGGGGCCAAGGAGCACCUUGGCUGUCUGGAGUCUGGCGGGAGUGGGGAAGGAUUGAGGGGCUAGCUCAGGCAGCCGGGGCGGUGGGGCCUGGGAGCCCACGAGGAGAAGGGUGGGCUCCCAGGGAAGCAGGGCAACAUCGGCAGGGGCGCUGGGCCUGAGCUAGGGCUGGAGAGGAGGGGAGCCAGACAUUCAUCCCGGGAACUUUUGGUUUCAGGACGUGGCGGCUGGUCGGACAAGGGGAAGCUGCUGGGCAGGGCUCGACCCCAAACCUGGGCAGUGGAGGUGUAGCUGGCAGCAGUGGGCAGGUGAGGACCGCCAUCUGCCGGGCAGGUGAGUCCACUUCCCUCCCUGGGCCUCACUGUGCUGGCCUUCUAGAAGGUUGGAGAGCGAGGACCUGCAAGGAGAAGUGGCUGUCCUCCCGGCAGAGCGGCAGGAGGAAGGCAGGAUGGUAGGCACAGGUGACAUCUUCUCGGGGGGAGCCGAGACGGAGAGAGACUGGGGGGCCCAGGGUCCAUUCCAGGUGGAAAGAGCAUUUUGAAUGGGUAGGAUAGAGAAGGGCAGGGCUGCCAGCGAGGACCGAGGCUGCUGCCUCCAGGGAGGUGACAGGUGACCUGGGGGUGGUAGUGGAGUCUGUGGGAAUCCAUCUAGUACUGUGGAAGUAUCCCAGGUCCAGGUCGGGCAGAGCGAGGUGGGGUCACAGGAUACAGAGGGGUCCCCAGCCGCCACCACAUCCCACCCACCGUAAUUCAUCUAGGAGAAGGUACAGAAGCGGCUCUGGCGGGUCUCCCGAGGCCUGUGCCAGAGCCUCGAAGGCUGGAGAGCGGGAAAGAAGGGCAGUGCGCGGGCAGCACAGAAGGACGUCACCUGGGGGGAGCGGUGGUCGUGGGUGGCGGGCUCCGGAGAGAUAUCGCAGCAAGGAGGCUGCAGCGGGCCCAGCCUGCGGAUGCACCGUUCCCACGCGGCACUGCGGCCCAGAGGCUGGCGCGGAGAGGGCCCACAGUGGACUUGGUGACACUGUAUGCCCUAACCGCUCAGCCGCUGGGUCUGGCAUGGCAGACAGGACAGCACCAGGGGAGCCAAGGGCAUGGGCAAGGCCAGACAAGGCGAGACGGGCGGGGUAGAGCGAGUGAGCUCUCUAAGGGGGGAGUCGGGGCAGGCAGGUGAGGGGCCACCAGGCGGCGAGCCAACGAGGCACUGGCCUCCAGAGCCCGUGGCCAAGGCGGGCAUCACGGGCAGCGACGGAGCAGUGAUCGGUGCCUUCAAGCUCAGGACUGGAGACAAGGACAGGUCUCCAGCAGGGGUGCACACGCCAGCCCCCGAAGGCCAGGACGCCAGGCGCAGGGAUGUACUGGAAAGACAUGACAUGGUCCGGUGUGAUGGCGAGGACAGAGGGACUGCCGUCCGGCCUUCGUGAACACUCUGGCUGGCACCGCGGGGGAGGCUGCCACAGAAGGGUCUGGUCCUUUGCUUUUCCGAAAGAGUUAACACACCACUGCUGCUCUCUGGACCCCCUAGAACCCUCAAGAAAUAAAGAAAUGGUGCUACCCAGCUCACGUCUGGGCCUUCAACUCUGGGGACUUCUUCAAGUCCGUCUAGCUCUGGAUCAAGAAUAUGCUGCGUUUGGGAACCACUGCAUACCUGACUCAGGAAUCGGCUCUGUAGGUGAAGCCGAAGGACCAGGCCUGUGAACACCAAGGCAGAACAGACCCGCAGCACCCGCCGCCAAACCCCAUCCUCGUGGCCACCCCACUGCG